UGAUUAUUACGGCUCCUACUAUGUUAUCUUUGAGAAAACGCAUAACUUUGUUGAUGUUUAUGUCCUCAAUGAUGUCCCAAAAUCGUUCCACUACAUCUUGAAUCGUUUUCUCACAAACACCCUGGAAGAAUGCAUAUGCAUGAAAUUAAAUGAAACCUUGGAUGCACGGUGUCCCAUCCGGUAAAAUAUCUUGUGGAUCUAUCGGGAAACACGUUUCGUUCAAGCUCAUCCUACAGCAUCGUUUGCACGCAUCGCCAACUGUUAAAAAAAUCCGACGUAACAAUAUAUAUCUGAAACUUAGAACACAAGAUAUACAUACUCGUGUCGCACAUACAGCUUUGCAAGCUUUGAGUCUCGCAGUACGGCACGCAUUUACCCAUGCGGCAUUGCCCACGUUCGAGACAACCAGUGCCAUCCAUCAUAGCCGGUGAUUUUGGACAUUCACUGGACACUCCGGUGCAACGCGACUCUUGUUCGCAGGUCGCAUAUUGCGCGUCGCGACACUUUGUACCCGUAGGCAUAUACGCGCAAUUCUGACAGCAAGGAGAGUUCUUAUCGCUGUUGAAAAAAGGCACGAUCAACGUUACGUGCUGAUUCAUUAAUAUAUCAUUUUUGGAUUCACCGUAGGAAGUUAGAAAUAUAAACAUCCUAGAUAUCACGUGAUACAAAUACGGAGUCUCUAUGUUACCUGCAGACUGCACUCUGCAUCCUUCGAAGUUUGCAGUUUUUAUCGCAACACGCGUCAUUGUCCUCCGUUCCCAAGAGACCCGCGUCGCAUUCCUCAUCUCCUUCGACUCUUAAAUUCCCACAGAACGAUUCCUCCGGUUCUGAGAAACAGCGUCCAGAUUUCGCUUGCAAAACUUUUCUGAUAGAUCGCAAGCUGCACGGCGAAAAUCUCUAUGUGAGAGAAAGAUAAUGUAAUAUCUCUACAAAUCUGUAGAUUUACAUAUAAAUCUAUAUUGUAUAAAGCAAUUAAGCAGUAUCGAUGUCUUACACAAGAAACAGGAACUUUUAACAGAAAUCGGAAUGUGAAUAAAAGAAGAGGAACUUUA